rnacentral:lncRNA from 1 species
AGGACCAGCAGUCUCAAUUAAUCUGGACCCCGGAGAUCUCUCAAACACUGGACCACCAAACUGAUAGCAUACAUGAGCUAAUAUGAGGCACAGCACACAUACAGUAGAGGACUUCUGGGUCUGUGUUCAUUCAAAGAUAAUGCACUUAACCCUCAAGAGUCUGGAGGCCCCAGAGAAUUUUGAGGAAAAUGCUCAAUAUGAUUUGAAGUGAGAUUGUAGGCAUUCCUAUAGACUGAGAAUGAUAUCUAAAGAAAGUAAAGAAGCGUUCAAAGCAAAAGAUUUGUUCUCCACUGCCUAAGAUUAGGAAUCCAGAAGGGGGAGCAUCAGUGUCCCAGGCACUGUGUGCCAAAGCAGUGACAACAUUCAAAGGAGAGAGUCUGAACCCAUGAUCAGGCCUUACAUGUAAGAUGCAAGAACAAGACAUUAAUAGGGAGUGCUGGAAGUGACUGAGCACGAAGGAUACUUAUUCUAUAUAGCAUGAUGCUCCCCAACCCCAAAAGCUUCAGAGAACCCUAUCAAAAGGAAUUUCUGACUUGUAUAGGUUUUCAGGGAGUGGUGAGAAAUUCCAUACCUCAUUAGUUCAUCUGGGUGAUAUUAUGUGACAAGCAGAAUAGAGGAGGCCAGUACUGCCUGUGACUACAAGGCUGCCAUUCAGUUGUAACACGGAGGAGCUGGGCUCUCAUACACCCCAUUCUCCACCACCCGUGUGUGUUAGAACUGUCACAAGAGAUGCUAUCAGACACAGUCAAGUAUUCAUUCCCUCAGGAAUUUUACAUAUCAUAUACUUUCUAUAUGUUAUCAUCACUUAUCACUAUGAAUAUAUCAUAGCUAAGUAUCUAAUUCUAAAGUAAUUAUAAUCCAAAGCAUUUGAUGCAUUUCUCGCUCAAGUAUAUAUCCCUGGAAAUAUUUUAAUGUAUCAGGAUAAAUAGGUCAUUUUGGUAGGCCUUUCAAAUCAAUUUAGAAUAUGUUUAACUUUUGUUCCUAGACUCCCUGUUCAAAUGAACAGAUUAAUAAUCUAGAAA